UCUCAUUGCAAUGAACUUUGUUGUGACUGUCACUGGUGCCCGUAGCAUUCAGUUUCAGGAGUCGUGUGGAUGCAACAUUUGGUGCAUUGGCCGGGAAAGUUAAAGUUCUGAAACAGGGCACUUUCCCCGGAUUGCUCUGCCGACCCGUGGGAGGAAGCUCGGGAUUGGGAGAGGUAAGGAAUUCUUGGGGCGCGCCAUUUGAAUGACUCAGGAGGGUCUGCCUGAUGCGGCUAUAGAACCAGAAUCAGGGAUCCUACCGGGACGCCGGUGGACCCCAUUAGGUUUGGUUUUUGUCAAGAAGGAUCCUAUUUUCAGGUGGCUGCGACGGCCUACUGGCCUUGAGAUCUCGAACUUGUGUUUUCUUCGUGUCUUAAUUGUCUUCUUCCUGUUGACUGGCUGUGCGUCCUUGUCAGUUUUGCCUACCUUUGUCAUCGGUCAGAAUCAGACUACCCCCACCCCGCUGAGUCUCAUACUAACCCAUUUCCAGGACUAUAGGAGAGCUGCCUCAGUUUUCGGCCUCCACAUUAAGAAGCCAGUCCUUCGAACUCUGCGAGGUGGAAUGGACCAGCUUUCAGGUCAAAUGGCCUCCACAGGGGACCUUUAACCUUACUUUGAUAUAUAAGGUUCGUGAUAUUAUCUUUUCUAGGCACGAAGACCAAAUCCCAUACAUUGGGGCACGGAGAACCCUCAUCGAAAAACCUCCAGAUUGGUUAAAACUUCUUCCCCUUCCCCCUCACCUCCCUAAAGUACAGGCUUUGCCCCUCAAAGGUCGCCCAUCUGGAGCUCAGAGUAAGAAUCUUGACGAGACUAAGCGGCCGCCCUCUCUAUCACCUGCACCGGAGGGGGGUAAAAAAAAAGGAACUUACCACCCACCGCCCUAUAGUUCUCGCCCAAAGAAUACAGGUCAAGAUGCUUCAGAUCUGGAGACAAGCCCGAGUCAGGACACUCCCCUGAGCCCGUCUCACACCCGGUCAGGGACUCCCUUCCAUCCCCCUCCCGCUGCCCUAUCCCUUCUUCCAAGGCCACCCCUGCACCCCUGCAGGGUGAUGUCCGACCCUUUAUGACUUAUGUACCCUUCUCCACUAGUGACCUUUAUAACUGGAAGCUUCAAAACCCCUCGUUCUCAGAGAAACCCCAAGCAUUAAUUUCUCUUCUUGAAACUCUAUUUGUGACCCAUCUGCCAACCUAGGAUGACUGCCAGCAGCUCUUGCAGGUUCUCUUCACCACUGAGGAGCGGGAUAAGAUCCGUCGCGAGGCCCGGAAAUUAGUGAUGGGGCCAAACGGGCAACCCACCGAGGAUCCCGCUGGAUUCAAGGAAGUUUUUCCUUCCUCGCAUCCUGAAAAUUGGGACCCAAACGCUCCUCACGGUAACCCUAUUGGAAUAUGUUGAGGAUAUCUUGUUGGCGGCCCCCUCUCAUUUAGAAUGCCUGAGUGCCACCAGAGAACCCUUGAGUCUUUUGCAAAAACUGGGGUACUGAGUGUCAGCCAGAAAAGCGCAGAUCUGUCGGACUGCAGUGACCUAUUUAAGUUACAACCUUCAAAAGGGAAGUGCUAUCUCGGUGAACAAAGAAUUCGGGCUAUACUCGAUAUUCCUCAGCCUAAAACUCGCAAACAAGUUCGCGAGUUCUGGGGGCAGCAGGCUACUGCAGAGUAUGGAUAACUGGUUUUGCUGAACUGGCAGCCCCUUUGUACGCCACUCUCAAGGGGUCUCCGGAGUCCUUCACGUGGGGGGGGAGACUCAAACUAAAGCCUUCCAAGCCUUACGAGAGGCUCUCAUGACCCCACCGGCCUCGGCCCUGCCAGAUCCCACCAAGCCAUUCCAUUUGUUUGUAGCCGAAAAGGGGGGGGGGGGGGUAGCGGAGGGAGUUCUGACUCGGCGCCUGGGACCUUGGCGCCGACCGGUGGCCUAUUUAUCCAAGCGGCUGGACCCAGUAGCUUCCGGGUGGCCCCCACGCGUUCGACAAAUUGCCACCACCGCGCUCUUAGUUGAAGACGCA